AGAUUGAACGCUGGCGGCAGGCCUAACACAUGCAAGUCGAGCGGUAGAGAGGUGCUUGCACCUCUUGAGAGCGGCGGACGGGUGAGUAAAGCCUAGGAAUCUGCCUGGUAGUGGGGGAUAACGCUCGGAAACGGACGCUAAUACCGCAUACGUCCUACGGGAGAAAGCAGGGGACCUUCGGGCCUUGCGCUAUCAGAUGAGCCUAGGUCGGAUUAGCUAGUUGGUGAGGUAAUGGCUCACCAAGGCGACGAUCCGUAACUGGUCUGAGAGGAUGAUCAGUCACACUGGAACUGAGACACGGUCCAGACUCCUACGGGAGCAGCAGUGGGGAAUCUUGCGCAAUGGGCGAAAGCCUGACGCAGCCAUCGCCGCGUGAAUGA
rnacentral:rRNA from 1 species